GGUUAUAUGACUGAAAUAUAAGUAUUGAAUUGUAAACUCAAAAAUGGAAAAUCCUGUAACCA
rnacentral:tRNA from 1 species